rnacentral:tRNA from 1 species
GGGAAUGUAGCUUAUUGGUAGAGUACUUGCCUACCAUGCAUGAAGCCCUGGGUUCAAUUCCUCAGUACCA